CAACAUCAACAGAUACUUCAGCUACAACUGAUUCUGUCUCAACUACAGCUGAUCGCUCAACUACAGCAGACACUGCCACAACAACAGAUGUAUCAGCUACAACAGACAGCAGUACUUCAGAAAAUCCCACCUCACCUGCAACUGAAGUCACAACAUCAACAGAUACUUCAGCUACAACAGAUCCUGUCUCAACUACAUCUGAUCCCUCAACUACAGCAGAUGUAUCAGUUACAACAGACAGCAGCACUUCAGAAAGUCCCACCUCACGUACGACUGACAUCAUAACAUCAACAGAUACUUCUGCUACAACAUAUCCUGUCUCAACUACAGCUGAUCCCUCAACUACAGCAGAUACUGCCACAACAACAGAUGUAUCAGCUACAACAGACAGCAGAACUUCAGAAAAUCCCACCUCACCUGCAACUGACAUCACAACAUCAACAGAUAUUUCAGCUACAACAGAUCCCGUCUCAACUACAGCUGAUCCCUCAACUACAGCAGAUACUGCCACAACAACAGAUGUAUCAGCUACAACAGACAGCAGCACUUCAGAAAAUCCCACCUCACCUGCAACUGACAUCACAACAUCAACAGAUACUUCAGCUACAACAGAUCCUGUCUCAA